rnacentral:misc_RNA from 1 species
GGAAGUAAAGGUCGUAACAAGGUUUCCGUAGGUGAACCUGCGGAAGGAUCAUUCAUAAUAAGUGUUUUACUGCACUUUUUAAAAAUAGUACUCACCUUGUGUGCAAUGUUGUGUUUCUUUUCGGAGAAACACCUACACCAACCUAUAACCUUGAACCACUUUGUCUGAAAAACUAUUAUGAAUACUUAAUUCAAAAUACAACUUUCAACAACAGAUCUCUUGGCUCUC